rnacentral:rRNA from 1 species
UACGAAGGGGGCUAGCGUUGUUCGGAAUCACUGGGCGUAAAGGGCGCGUAGGCGGCUUGAUAAGUCGGGCGUGAAAUCCCACGGCUCAACCGUGGAAGUGCACCCGAACUGCGUAGCUAGAGUCCUGGAGAGGAAGGUGGAAUGCUUGGUGUAGAGGUGAAAUUCGUAGAUAUCAAGCGGAACACCGGUGGCGAAGGCGGCCUUCUGGACAGUGACUGAACGCUGAGA